UCAGCUGGUAGAGCAGAGGACUGAAAAUC
rnacentral:tRNA from 2 species